rnacentral:tRNA from 1 species
GCUUCAAUAGCUCAGUUGGUAGAGCAUCCGGCUGUUAACCGGCAGGUCGUAGGUUCGAGUCCUACUUGAAGCG